rnacentral:rRNA from 1 species
GUGAUAUGAACCGUUAUAACCGGCGAUACCCGAAUGGGGAAACCCAGUGUGAUUCGUCACACUAUCAUUAACUGAAUCCAUAGGUUAAUGAGGCGAACCGGGGGAACUGAAACAUCUAAGUACCCCGAGGAAAAGAAAUCAACCGAGAUUCCCCCAGUAGCGGCGAGCGAACGGGGAGGAGCCCAGAGCCUGAAUCAGCAUGUGUGUUAGUGGAAGCGUCUGGAAAGGCGCGCGAUACAGGGUGACAGCCCCGUACACAAAAGCGCAUGUGCUGUGAGCUCGAUGAGUAGGGCGGGACACGUGGUAUCCUGUCUGAAUAUGGGGGGACCAUCCUCCAAGGCUAAAUACUCCUGACUGACCGAUAGUGAACCAGUACCGUGAGGGAAAGGCGAAAAGAACCCCGGCGAGGGGAGUGAAAAAGAACCUGAAACCGUGUACGUACAAGCAGUGGGAGCACAGGUUUACCUGUGUGACUGCGUACCUUUUGUAUAAUGGGUCAGCGACUUAU